rnacentral:rRNA from 1 species
CCGGUGCACGGGUGAGUAACACGUAUGGAACCUGCCCUAUGCAGGGGGAUAAGCGGAAGAAAUUCCGUCUAAUACCGCAUAACACCAUUUGGAGACAUCUCCAGGUGGUCAAAGGAGGCGACUCCGGCAUAGGAUGGCCAUGCGUCGCAUUAGCUAGUCGGCGGGGUAACGGCCCACCGAGGCGACGAUGCGUAGGGGUUCUGAGAGGAAGGUCCCCCACACUGGUACUGAGACACGGACCAGACUCCUACGGGAGGCAGCAG